CAGUAGCCGCGGGAAUACGUAGGGUGCAAGCGUUAAUCGGAAUUACUGGGCGUAAAGCGUGCGCAGGCGGUUAUAUAAGACAGAUGUGAAAUCCCCGGGCUCAACCUGGGAACUGCAUUUGUGACUGUAUAGCUAGAGUACGGCAGAGGGGGAUGGAAUUCCGCGUGUAGCAGUGAAAUGCUUAGAUAUGCGGAGGAACACCGAUGGCGAAGGCAAUCCCCUGGGCCUGUACUGACGCUCAUGCACGAAAGCGUGGGGAGCAAACAGGAUUAGAGACCCCCGUAGUCCCUGUCUCUUAUAC
rnacentral:rRNA from 1 species